GCGAAGUACCUCAAAGGAAACGAAGAUAUCGAGCACGCCGAAGGAGAAAACGGAGGGCAGCCUGAUUCCGCAGGGCGCUCAGGAUGUUGCUCGUCGUCCUCCUUCUCCUGCUUCUCGAUCGUGGUGAUCUCGAUGCUGGGCGUCUCCGCGAUGGUGUAGCGGCUCAGAUCGGGCGCCUUCUCCCUGGUCCGGCACCUCAGAUGAUUCUCCACCAGCCUGCCGGUCAGCUCCAACCUGCUGUCGCAUGAGUUGCUCUUCACCAGCCGGAACUUGACGUAAUCGUUCGACCUGUCCGCGCACUUGAACCUGUUCUCGACGACCGGCGCGAUCAGAGGGCCGUUGCUCGAGUUCACCACCUUGCCGCCGUAGUAGGUCACCGAGGUGCCGCACUCCCGGAUCUUCUUCAGGACGUCCUGGGAGACGUAGUGGCUGGAGUUGUGGGUGUCGUUGCCCUCGUCCUCGUGGCAGUCGACCUCCUCGUCCUCCGAGGAGAUGCACUGCACUCCGCUGCCGGGAUCGGUGUCCGGAUAGUCGCUGGACACCCCGGAGCUGACGCUGCCGGCGUCCCAGUUGUGGUGAUGGUACCGGUUCACCUUGUUCUUCGAGGACGUCGAAUCGCUGGGAGACGUGUGGCCGCUCCUAGCUUCGAACGACUGGGCCAGGAUCCGCGUUUUCGACUCGGAACGCGGACUGUCCAGCUCGUCCUUGCCGCCCACCACCGAAGCGUUCGAAGACGUCGACUUCUCCAUGUUCUCGAACAGCCUCGUCAGGUCCUUGGCUCUGCUCGAACACCUGGACCUGGAACAAAAGAAGACGUCGCAACGCUUAGAUGUCACAGUCUUCUUGUAUUUCUCUUAAUAACAAAGUUUAGUCAGGAUUAUUCCUGGCUUCUCCGUCGCCUAUGCGACGCCUGUAUAUUACUUCUUCCGUAAUAAAGAGUUUCUCUACCCGCA